rnacentral:misc_RNA from 1 species
AAGUCGUAACAAGGUUUCCGUAGGUGAACCUGCGGAAGGAUCAUUAUCGAAUUAUAAGCAAAGGUUGUUGCUGGCCCCUCGGGGCAUGUGCACGCCCUAGCUCUUAAUCCACUUACACCUGUGAACUCAAUGUGGGACGUCCUUCGGGAUGAUUCUCAUGUCUUUCAUAUACUCUUAUGUAUGUCGCGGAAUGUCUUAUUGUUGCUUUAACGCAAUUAUAUACAACUUUCAACAACGGAUCUCUUGGCUCUC